rnacentral:rRNA from 1 species
GACGAACGCUGGCGGCGUGCCUAACACAUGCAAGUCGAGCGGGGAUUUAAGUGGAAGUUCUUCGGAAUGGAGAUUUAAAUUCUAGCGGCGGACGGGUGAGUAACGCGUGAACAAUCUGUCCCGGACAGGGGGAUAACACUUGGAAACAGGUGCUAAUACCGCAUAAGACCACGGCCUCGCAUGGGGCUGAGGUAAAAGGAGCAAUCCGGUUCGGGGUGAGUUCGCGUCCGAUUAGCUAGUUGGUGAGGUAACGGCCCACCAAGGCGACGAUCGGUAGCCGGCCUGAGAGGGUGAACGGCCACAUUGGAACUGAGAGGCGGUCCAAACUACUACGGGAGGCAGCAGUGGGGAAUAUUGGGCAAUGGGCGAAAGCCUGACCCAGCAACGCCGCGUGAGGGAAGAAGGUUUUCGGAUUGUAAACCUCUGUCCUAUGGGACGAAGGAAGUGACGGUACCAUAGGAGGAAGCCCCGGCUAACUACGUG